UACGGGGGGAGCAAGCGUUGUUCGGAUUUACUGGGCGUAAAGGGCUCGUAGGCGGCCAACUAAGUCAUACGUGAAAUCCCUCAGCUUAACUGGGGAACUGCGUCUGAUACUGGAUGGCUUGAGUUUGGGAGAGGGAUGCGGAAUUCCAGGUGUAGCGGUGAAAUGCGUAGAUAUCUGGAGGAACACCGGUGGCGAAGGCGGCAUCCUGGACCAACACUGACACUGAGGAGCGAAAGCGUGGGGAGCAAACAGG
rnacentral:rRNA from 1 species